UGUGAGUGUAGGUGUAAUUGUAAGUGUAGCUGUAGGUGUGAGUGUAGGUGUAGGUGUAAGUGUAGGUGUAGGAGUAGGUGUAGGUGUGAGUGUAGGUGUAAUUGUAAGUGUAGCUGUAGGUGUAGGUGUAGGUGUAAGUAUAAGUGUAGGUGUAGGUGUAGGAGUAGGUGUAGGUGUGAGUGUAGGUGUAAUUGUAAGUGUAGCUGUAGGUGUGAGUGUAGGUGUAGAUGUAAAUGUAGGAGUAUUUGUAGGUGUAAGUGUAGGUGUAAGUAUAAGUGUAGGUGUAGGUGUAGGUGUAGGUGUAAGUGUAGGUGUGAGUGUAGGUGUAAGUAUAAGUGUAGGUGUAGAUGUAAAUGUAGGAGUAGGUGUAGGUGUAGGUGUAAGUGUAGGUGUAGGUGUGAGUGUAGGUGUAAGUAUAAGUGUAGGUGUAGAUGUAAAUGUAGGAGUAGGUGUAGGUGUAAGUGUAAGUGUAGGUGUAAGUGUAGGUGUAGGUGU
ensembl:lncRNA